AUGGCUCCCGCAGCAGCUGCGCACAUCAUGGUGGUCGCUGUGGUUGCGGCGAUGCUCCUCGCGGCGGCGCACACCGCCGACGCCGCCAUCAGCUGCGGCCAGGUGAACUCUGCAUUGGGACCCUGCCUCACCUACGCGCGUGGCGGCGCUGGCCCGUCCGCAGUAUGCUGCAGCGGCGUCAAGAGACUCGCCGCUGCCACCCAGACCACUGUUGACAGGCGCGCCGUGUGCAACUGCCUCAAGAUGGCCGUCGGCCGCAUGAGCGGGUUCAAGGCCGGCAACAUCGCCAGCAUCCCGUCCAAGUGCGGCGUCAGCGUCCCCUAUGCCGUCGGCGCCUCUGUCGACUGCUCCAGGGUCAGCUGA
rnacentral:rRNA from 1 species